UGCCGAUCUCGAAAACCUGUCCCAGUUCGGACUGGAGUCUGCAACCCGACUCCACGAAGUUGGAUUCGCUAGUAAUCGCGCAUCAGCCAUGGCGCGGUGAAUACGUUCCCGGGCCUUGUACACACCGCCCGUCAAGCCAUGGGAGCCGGGGGCGCCUGAAGUCCGGGACCGCGAGGACCGGCCUAGGGCGAAACUGGUGACUGGGGCUAAGUCGUAACAAGGUACC
rnacentral:rRNA from 1 species